rnacentral:rRNA from 1 species
GAGCCUACGGGGGGCAGCAGUGGGGAAUAUUGCACAAUGGGGGAAACCCUGAUGCAGCGACGCCGCGUGAAGGAUGAAGUAUUUCGGUAUGUAAACUUCUAUCAGCAGGGAAGAAAAUGACGGUACCUGACUAAGAAGCCCCGGCUAACUACGUGCCAGCAGCCGCGGUAAUACGUAGGGGGCAAGCGUUAUCCGGAUUUACUGGGUGUAAAGGGAGCGUAGACGGUAUGGCAAGUCUGAUGUGAAAACCCGGGGCCCAACCCCGGGAC